rnacentral:rRNA from 1 species
CAGUAGCCGCGGUAAUACGUAGGGUGCAAGCGUUAAUCGGAAUUACUGGGCCUAAAGCGUGCGCAGGCGGUUAUAUAAGACAGAUGUGAAAUCCCCGGGCUCAACCUGGGAACUGCAUUUGUGACUGUAUAGCUAGAGUACGGCAGAGGGGGAUGGAAUUCCGCGUGUAGCAGUGAAAUGCGUAGAUAUGCGGAGGAACACCGAUGGCGAAGGCAAUCCCCUGGGCCUGUACUGACGCUCAUGCACGAAAGCGUGGGGAGCAAACAGGAUUAGAUACCCCCGUAGUCCCUGUCUCUUAUAC